GGCUCAGAACGAACGCUGGCGGCAGGCCUAAAACAUGCAAGUCGAACGGACCCUUCGGGGUUAGUGGCGGACGGGUGAGUAACACGUGGGAACGUGCCCUUUGGUUCGGAAUAAUCCGGGGAAACCUGGCCUAAUGCCGAAUGAGCCCUACGGGGGAAAGAUUUAUCGCCAUUGGAGCGGCCCGCGCCUGAUUAGCUAGUUGGUGAGGUAAAGGCUCACCAAGGCGACGAUCAGUAGCUGGUCUGAGAGGAUGAUCAGCCACACUGGGACUGAGACACGGCCCAGACUCCUACGGGAGGCAGCAGUGG
rnacentral:rRNA from 1 species